rnacentral:rRNA from 1 species
UACGUAGGUGGCAAGCGUUGUCCGGAAUUAUUGGGCGUAAAGCGCGCGCAGGCGGUCCUUUAAGUCUGAUGUGAAAGCCCACGGCUCAACCGUGGAAGGUCAUUGGAAACUGGGGAACUUGAGUGCAGAAGAGGAAAGUGGAAUUCCAAGUGUAGCGGUGAAAUGCGUAGAGAUUUGGAGGAACACCAGUGGCGAAGGCGACUUUCUGGUCUGUAACUGACGCUGAGGCGCGAAAGCGUGGGGAGCAAACAGG